UUUCUCUCUCUCUCUACCCCCCCUCUCUCUCUCUACCCCUUCCUCUCUCUCUCUCUCUCUCUGUAUCUCUUUUUUCAAGGGGAAGGUUGUUUCCUGAAUGUAACUGCACUGAGGCUGCUGUUUUUAGACUGGGGUUUUGAUUAACUUUUCGUUCACUAUUGUUUUCGGAAAAGCUUGACUAUUUCUGGUUUUGAUUCCUUCCUGGGAUGUGGGUGUUGGUGCCAAAAUGGGAGUUUUGUUACUUGUCCUGAAUUUCCCCUGGGGUAUAGUGAGCGGUGUUGUGUGUGGGUGCGGCUGUGUGUGUGUGAGGGUGUGUGUGUGGGUGUGUGUGUGUGUGUGGGUGUGUGUGUGUGCGUGAGGGUGUGUGUGCGUGAGGGUGUGUGUGCGUGAGGGUGUGUGUGUGUGUGUGUGUGUGUGUGUGGGUGCGGCUGUGUGUGCGUGAGGGUGUGUGUGUGUGUGUGUGUGUGUGUGUGUGGGGGUGUGGUUAACACCCAGAGCGGUUUUUGGGAAUGGGGGAUCCAUGAAUAAAACUCCCAAUUUCCCAUUUGCAUGUUGUCACGGUAACUAUGUGACUGAAAGUCUUGAAUGAAUUUAAUUUUGGUGAUGGAAAUUAAAGAUGAAAUAAUAAAGAGAAUUAGUCUGAGCUCUA